rnacentral:lncRNA from 1 species
UCCUGACCCCUUAGGAGCUGAAGCCUGGAUCUUGCAGAUAGAGAAAUUUUUCUCUGUCUUAGACCUAACCGAAGAACAAAAAGUCCCCUUAAUAGCUUUUAUGUUGAUCGGUGAAGCAAAAACUGGUGGCGAUUUAAGAAAGAAGUCCUGCCUACCCCUACCACUUGGGAAGUUUUCAUGAAUACAUUCUUUGAUAACUUUUUCCAGUCUAUGUCUAAGAGAAGAAAGAGGAGGAAUUUUAGGACCUCUGCCAAAGGAAUUUGAUAGUUGCUCAAUAUGUAGCUAGAUUUGUCUA